AUUGAACGCUGGCGGCAUGCUUUACACAUGCAAGUCGAACGGCAGCGCGGGCUUCGGCCUGGCGGCGAGUGGCGAACGGGUGAGUAAUGCAUCGGAACGUGCCCAGUAGUGGGGGAUAGCCCAGCGAAAGCCGGAUUAAUACCGCAUACGACCUGAGGGUGAAAGCGGGGGACCGAAAGGCCUCGCGCUAUUGGAGCGGCCGAUGUCGGAUUAGCUAGUUGGUGGGGUAAAGGCUUACCAAGGCGACGAUCCGUAGCUGGUCUGAGAGGACGACCAGCCACACUGGGACUGAGACACGGCCCAGACUCCUACGGGAGGCAGCAGUGGGGAAUUUUGGACAAUGGGGGCAACCCUGAUCCAGCCAUGCCGCGUGCGGGAAGAAGGCCUUCGGGUUGUAAACCGCUUUUGUUCGGGAAGAAAUCCUCUGGGCUAAUACCCCGGGGGGAUGACGGUACCGGAAGAAUAGGCACCGGCUAACUACGUG
rnacentral:rRNA from 1 species